GUGGUCUAAUGGUAAGGAUAAAGGUCUGCAAAACCUUAGGUAUGGGUUCGAAUCCCAUCA
rnacentral:tRNA from 1 species